rnacentral:rRNA from 1 species
GCUAAUAAAAGUUAUUGAAAGAUUAUUCUUAAUAAAAUAAUUAAAUUAGUUUUUGUGUAUAAAUUUUAAAUUAAUUAAUAUAAUAAUAAAAUUUAAGUAGAAUUAGUAUAAAUUAGAAUUUUUAUUUAUUUAUAAAAAAAUUAUAGAAAUAGAAAAUAUUAUUUAUAUAUUUAAAAUUUACCUUUUGUAUUAGGGUUUAUUAAAAUAAAAUAAAAUUUUAUUUUCUCGAAAUAAAUUGAUUUAAUUUAUUAUUAUAAUUAAUAUAUAAUUAUUAUUAUAAAUAAUGAAUUGGAAGUAAAAUAUUUUCAUAAUUUAAUAUCUAGUUAUUUUAUAAAUUAAUUAAAUUAAUAUUAUAAUAAAAAUAUUUUUGUAAAAAAUAAAUUAUAAUUAAUAAAUUAAGGGAUAAACUUUAAUUUAAAAUUAGAAUAAUUAAUAAUUAUUAUUUAAAAUAAUUUUAUAAUUAAAAAUAUUUAUAAAAAUUUAAUUUUUAAUAAUUAAUAUUUAAUAAAUAAAAUUUAUAACAUUAUCUAAUAAUUUAUAAAAUUAAAUAUAAAAUAUUAUAAGUAUUAAAAUAAUGAUAAAAUUAGUAAAAAAAAAAUAAUUAAAUUAAUAAAUUUUUUAUUUUAAUUUAAGGAAUUAGACAAAAAUUUUUAUUCAACUGUUUAUUAAAAACAUAGUUUUUUGAUUAUAAUAUAAAAUAUAAUCUGCUCCAUGAAAAAUAAUUUAAAUUAGCUGCAGUAUAUUAACUGUACAAAGGUAGCAUAAUCAUUUGUCUUUUUAAUAAGGUCUAGAAUGAAUGAUUUAAUGAAAUAAUAAUUGUCUCAAAUUAAUAAUUUAAAUUUAAUUUUAAGUAAAAAUUCUUAAAAAUAAAUAAAAGACGAGAAGACCCUAUAGAAUUUAAUUAAAUAAAUUUUAUUUAUUAUUAAAAUUAAAUUAUUAAUAAAUUUUAUAAAUUUUAUUGGGGAAGUAGAAGAAUUUAUAUAAAUUCUUUAAAUUUAUUUCAUAAAUAAAUGUAAAAAAAUAAAUUUUAUUAUAUUAAUAUUAAAAUAAAUUACCUUAGGGAUAACAGCAUAAUAAAUUUAAAUAGUUCAUAUUGAUAAAUUUGAUUAUGACCUCGAUGUUGAAUUAAGAUAAAUUUUAAAUGAAGAAAUUUUUAAAUUUAGUCUGUUCGACUAUUAAAAUCUUACAUGAUUUGAGUUUAGAUCGGUGUAAACCAGAUCGGAUUCUAUCUUUAUUUUUUUUAAUAUAUAUUUGUACGAAAGGACUUUAUAUAAAAAUAAAAUUUAAAAAAUUGAAUAAAAUUAAUUAUUUAAAUAAAAUUACUUUAUCAUAAAAGUGUUUAAAUUUAGAAUUUAAUUAU